rnacentral:misc_RNA from 1 species
GAUGAAACGCAGCGAAAUGCGAUAAGUAAUGUGAAUUGCAGAAUUCAGUGAAUCAUCGAAUCUUUGAACGCACAUUGCGCCCGCCAGUAUUCUGGCGGGCAUGCCUGUUCGAGCGUCAUUUCAACCCUCAAGCCCUGCUUGGUGUUGGGGAUCGGCGUUGCCUCCUCCGUCGUUCGCGGCGGGGUGAGGUCGCCGCCCCCGAAAUGAAUUGGCGGUCUCGUCGCAGCUUUCCUUUGCGUAGUAACAUACCACCUCGCAACCAGGAGCGCGGCGCGGCCACUGCCGUAAAACGCCCAACUUUUUCAAGAGUUGACCUCGAAUCAGGUAGGAAUACCCGCUGAACUUAAGCAUAUCAAUAAGCGGAGGA